GUCUUGACUCCGGUACUGCUAUGUACUUUAUAGAUGAAUCUUUGUACUUUAUAGAUGAAUCUUUGGUACCCCAUUUCAGUAACAUGGAAAGGCCACUAAUUUAAAAGAUUCUGAUUUGUUUGGUCUAGUCUUUGAUAAAAGCAUGGAGUUUGCUCUCUCAUGAUCCAAAUGCGGUCAUAGCUUUCUCUCCAGAUGAUUUGGUGAACAUGAUUGGCCAUUGCUGCAACCUCGACGUUCUGUUGCACCAGCAGGGUUGGCUCUGUCAUUUCCAGAUGACAGGACUGGAUAAUUAAGGAAAAUUCAUUUCCAUACAUGACAGUAUAGCCCCAGAGAUCAAGCUGUAAGUGAUUGACAGCUACCAUGGGGCAAAAUCACUAAUUAAGAAGCUUGACCAGUUGAAGACAGUGUUGAUGGGUGUCAUUUGGCAUGUCACGCUCCAAUACUGUAAAUAAAGAUCUAGAGGAGGCUGGAACUGAGUUGUGUGCUCUGUCAUUAAUUUGUAUAAUGGUGUUUUAUCACACUUUAGUAGCACCUGGAAUAAAUUUCAUGUGUUGGAGGCCAUGGCAAAAUACAUACACCAUCCAAUUACACCAGAUAUCUUCAGCCUUUUCAAAUCCAGGACCCACAUUUAACCCAAACAUGGUGGGAGUGCUGCUGUUUUGGCUCAUCUUGGAUCAGGCCCUGACCCGCUAAUGGGUCCUGAUCUGCCAGUGGGAGCUGCACAACAUAAACAACUGAGAAACCCCACUCUCUUUUAAAAUGAAGUUGGCAUGGAUAACCCUGUCUUGGAUUUGAGUGCCAGUGGAUUAAUCUGUCAUAGAGAUGGGCAGACAGGAAGCAGCUUGCACGGAAGGAAAGGCUCUGUCUUCUUGUGGAUAGGCCCAUGCCCAGUGAUUAAGUGACCCCUAGAGUAAGGGCAGUAAUAUAUACCUAUCCACAGGGUUGUUUUUCAGCCAGAACUCACCAGAACUCAAUUCUGGCACCUCUCAGGUGGAUGCCAUUGCCCUUAUAAGAGAACAAGGGAGGCAUUCAUGGUGGGUUCCAGCACCUCUUUUUCCAGAAAAAUAGCACUGCCUCUCCAUCAGCUUUCAAACAUGCUUUCAUGUUAUUCUAACAUGUAUAUAUGCAGAUAGCAAAUCUAUGGCCAAAAUGAUCAUUACCCAAAUAAUGAUCAAGUUGGUGACAUGCUUUCCAAAUGUCAGCAUUGCUUUUUGAAUGUUAUCUUGCCAUUUUUGAAACAAAUGGUAAAGAGGAGCACUUUCUUUCAUACUUGAAACACAGAAAGAACUAUCUUAGGUUAACCAUGGUACAGAAAUGGCUGUAUUCAUUUGCACUACUCUCGACUGAGAAUGAGUGCUUUUGAAAUAGUUUAAGAUAUAUUCCCAGUAGCAUAAAAAUACCAUCAUGCAUUAUGUAAAGACAUUACGUGUUGUGUAUAUAAAUAACUUCACCCUUUAUCCUUUGCUGCCUCUUAUCCCUGGAAUUGCCUCCCAAAACAUCUGUUUGAGGCCACCUCUCUUACUUAUUUUCAAAUCCAUCCCCAAAGCCCAUUUUUCAAGCAUUAUUUUCUUUUUAAAAGGGCUAUCUUUGAAACAACCACAAAGUCCCCAUCCCUGUGCUGUUUUCAUGGGACUGUUUUAGUGCAUAUUUUAAAUAUUGAUGUUUAUAUUUUCAUGUUUUAAUCAGGUUGUUUUAGUGUGUGUUUUAAUCAUUAUGUGCUAUAAUCAUGUUUAUAGUUUAAAGUAUGUGUCAUUAGUUUUUGUACUUGUAAACUGCUUAGAAGCCUAUUUUGGAAUUGUUGUUGUUGUUUAGUCGUUUAGUCAUGUCCAACUCUUUGUGACCCCAUGGACCAGAGCAUGCCAGGCACUCCUGCCUCCCGCAGUUUGGUCAAACUCAUGCUGCUAGCUUUAAGAACACUGUCCAACCAUCUCAUCCUCUGUUGUCCCAUUCUCCUUGUGCUCUCAGUCUUUCCCAGCAUCAGGGUCCUUUCCAGGGAAUCUUCCCUUCUCAUGAGGUGGCCAAAGUAUUGGAGCCUCAGCUUCAGGAUCUGUCCUUCCAGUGAGCACUUGGGGCUGAUUUCCCUCAGAAUGGAUAGGUUUGAUCUUCUUGCAGUCUCCUCCUCAAGAGUCUCCUCCAGCAUCAUAAUUCAAAAGCAUCAGUUCUUCGGCGAUCAGCCUUCUUUAUGGUCCAGCUCUCACUUCCAUACAUCACUACUGAGAAAACCAUAGCUUUAACUAUAUGGACCUUUGUCGGCAAGCUGAUGUCUCUGCCUUUUAAGAUGCUAUCUAGGUUAGUUUUUGGAAUUAAGCAAUGUAUUAAUUAUAUCUACUGUAGCUAAUGGUUGAAUUUGUGUAACUGAAAUUACGUGUGUUCUCCCCCUGUUUCAAUCCUACUUACAACUGUUGCUUUUGUCUCCUCUGUCCUAAUUUCUACACUGCAAAAUCUGUCCUCUUUUGCUAUGUAAAAUUCAUGGUGAUGUGUACAUUGAAAUAUACAAAGAGAAAGCUGAUUUCUAAAAUCUCACACCUAGUCAGUGGCAGCUGAACGAACAACAGCAACAACAACAACCAAAAACAACAUAUGGUAUUGGUUUUUCAACAUAGGGGAUAGCUUACAAAUUCACACAGUAAUCAUAUACUGUACAUGCCUACGCAGGAAUAGUGAGACUUACUCCUACUUACACUGGUAUAGGGUUCUAUACAUAGGAUUAUUAGACUUUAAUCUCCUGUUUUCUCAAAGUGAUUUAUCAGUUGCUGUCCCUUUAGUCAACAUAAAGCGCUCCUUGACACCCAGAUGAACCACUGAUAAUGCUUGCAUGAGUCCUGGUGCAUCUUUGAAGAAUCACUGUGGAUAACAUUUGAUUGAUUCAGAGUGAGGUUAGAUAGCACAUUCUUAUCUCCAUUACUUCUACUAUUGACGAGCAUCCAGAAAUCAUGCUAGUGAAAGGAAACUGUUAAAAAUUGCCACUGGGCUCUUCAAAAUAUGGAAGAUUUUCUGUGUCUGAAGAGAACUGUGGAAACAGAUUAAUGGAAUACAGCUGUGGCUUUUCUAUCACUGGAAUGGGUGAUAGCCAACUAAGUCAUACUUACAAGUAGACCCUUUGAUAUUAUGACCAUCAGAAAACCAAUACAGUACUGUGUUUAGUGUGAUGAAAGAUGCCUAAUUUAGGUAUCUAGAUCAUCCUUCCUAGAUUAAGGUACAUCUCUGAGGGUUUGUUGCUUGGCAUGAUUGAUUUCAGUGGAUCUGCUUUGAUAAAAACUUAAAUAACACCCUUUGUGUUUAAAGAAGCCUUUUAGACUAAAGUCUUGUGCACAUUUACUAAGGAGUAAGCAUCCCUGAAAGGGAUGCGGAUGGCGCUGUGGUCUAAACCACAGAGCCCAGGGCUUGCUGAUCAGAAGGUCGGCGGUUCGAAUCCCCGUGACAGGGUGAGCUCCCGUUGGUCGGUCCCUGCUCCUGCCAACCUAGCUGUUCAAAAGCAUGUCAAAGUGCAAGUAGAUAAAUAGGUACCGCUCCGGCAGGAAGGUAAAUGGAAAAGGUAAACGCCAGAAGCGACUUUGUCAUGCUGGCCACAUGACUUGGAAGCUGUACACUGGCUCCCUCGGCCAGUAAAGCAAGAUGAGCUCUGCAACCCCAGAGUUGUCCACGACUGGACCUAACGGCCAGGGGUCCCUUUACUCUUUACCUUUAAGCAUCACUGAACUUCAUGAGACUUACUUCUGAAUAAACAUAUUUAGGAUUGUGCUACCCUCACAAAUGUGUCCUUUAUGUGUAAGGAUACUUUAGAAUCAUAGGAUCAUAGGAUUGUAGGGUUGGAAGGUAUUCCAAGGGUCAUUUAGUGAAACCCUUUGCAAUGCAGGAGUCUCAGCUAAAGUUCUUCCUGAUGUUUAUUCAGAAUCUCCUUUUAAUUUGGUGUAUCUGCCAGCAGACACGCCAGGUAAGAUGCAGCAUUCAGAGAAAAAAUAGCUAAAUGUUGGGACACACAAGGAUUGUCUCCAGCGUAUCAUAUUGUGUGGAGGGAAGCAGGUGGUAGAACUGAGAGGCACCGCCACCCACCCAGCAAAAACAAUAAGUAAGAAAGCUAGAAGAAAAUGGCACAUAACAAGUCUUUCUUAAGUCAGCAAGAUUGUUCACCAUUUUGCUUAUACUUACAUUUGUGUAGGACAUUAAUUUGUGUGGGACGCGGGAUGAGCUCCCGUUGCUUGGUCCCUGCUCCUGCCAACCUAGCAGUUCGAAAGCACAUCAAAGUGCAAGUAGAUAAAUAGGUACUGCUCUGGCGGGAAGUUAAACGGCGCUUCUGUGUGCUGCUCUGGUUCGCCAGAAGCGGCUUAGUCAUGCUGGCCACAUGACCCAGAAGCUGUACGCCGGCUCCCUCGGCCAAUACAGCAAGAUGAGCGCCGCAACCCCAGAGUCGGUCACAACUGGACCUAAUGGUCAGGGGUCCCUUUACCUUUACUUAGGACAUUAAAACCUUGCCAGAUUAUUACUUCAGAUACUUCUGUUCCCAUUUCUAUGCUAUAAACCUAGUGUGCAUGUGUGAAAGCAUGUGUGUAGUUGUAAUCAUCACCAUCAUCAUCUGUAUCCCACACUGCCAUUCCACUUCUGCCUACAAAAUAGAACUUCUCCCUUAUCCCCUGCAGCUGCACAUCCCACUAUGCCCCUUUGCCCUAGAGGGUUGGGGGAGCCUCCAAAACAGAUUUUUGGGGUGUAUGGGGAGAGGAGGAAUAUCCUGUAGUGUGAGUGGAACCCCAUUUGUGCAGUGCUGGAUAAAGCCCAAUAUUAUCAUCAGUGGGGGUACUCAAGGAUACGCAGUACCUUUCCAUUCCCCAAUGUCAAAAGUGUGGCCCUUGCUGUAACAACUUCACGGUGAGUACCAGCACCUUUCCCCCUAAAAAUUAUUAUUAAUUCUAUGGCGUUUUCAAAACAAAGUAUGGUGCGGUACUUAAGAUUAGGGACAGUCCUAUAUGCAGGCUUGCAGUUGAAUAGACAAAGACAAAUAGGGAAGGGAUGCAGUUGGAGAGGAGCUGCUUCCAGUCACACGUUUGUCCAUGCGCAUGUUGUCUAGGCAAACGAAUCUCCUUAGGUCCUGAUUAAUGCACAUGUCCAAGAAGGAGUCAUUUAGUAGGAAGAACUGUCUCUUUUGCAGCAGAUGCUCCCAUUUGAAAACAUUGCAUUCUACCCAUCCUGCAGGAACAGACUAUAACAAGAACUCUCAUUAAGUGUGCAACUAUAUGUUGACAGUUGCCUAGUAGUAGUAGUAGUAGUAGUAGUAAUAAUAAUAAUAAUAAUAAUAAUAAUAAUAAUAUUUUAUUUAUACCCCGCCCUCCCCAGCCAAGACCGGGCUCAGGGCGGCUAUUAUUAUUAUUAUUAUUAUUAUUUAUACCCCGCCCAUCUGGCUGGGUUUCCCCAGCCACUCUGGGCGGCUUCCAACAAAUAAAAUACAGUAGUCUGUUAAACACAAGUUCCCCUUACUCCAGUGGGGCUUCCUCCUAGAUUAGUGUGCAUAGAUUUAUAACCUAAAGAUGUGUUUGACUGGGUUUUUGGGAGCAGGGAGAACUAUGGACUAAUUCAUACAGUAUGUGGUUAGUUAUGGGAUUUCAGUGCCACCCUUCAUUU